rnacentral:rRNA from 1 species
UCCAGACUCCUACGGGAGGCAGCAGUGGGGAAUAUUGCACAAUGGGGGAAACCCUGAUGCAGCGACGCCGCGUGAGUGAAGAAGUAUUUCGGUAUGUAAAGCUCUAUCAGCAGGGAAGAAAUACUGACCUUACGGUCAGCAGACGGUACCUGACUAAGAAGCCCCGGCUAACUACGUGCCAGCAGCCGCGGUAAUACGUAGGGGGCAAGCGUUAUCCGGAUUUACUGGGUGUAAAGGGAGCGCAGACGGCAGUGCAAGUCUGGAGUGAAAGCCCGGGGCCCAACCCCGGAACUGCUCUGGAAACUGUGCGGCUAGAGUACUGGAGGGGCAGGCGGAAUUCCUAGUGUAGCGGUGAAAUGCGUAGAUAUUAGGAGGAACACCAGUGGCGAAGGCGGCUUACUGGACUGUAACUGACGUUGAGGCUCGAAAGCGUGGGGAGCAAACAGGAUUAGAUACCCGAGUAC